rnacentral:rRNA from 1 species
GAUGAACGCUGGCGGCGUGCCUAAUACAUGCAAGUCGAGCGAACAGACGAGGAGCUUGCUCCUCUGACGUUAGCGGCGGACGGGUGAGUAACACGUGGAUAACCUACCUAUAAGACUGGGAUAACUUCGGGAAACCGGAGCUAAUACCGGAUAAUAUAUUGAACCGCAUGGUUCAAUAGUGAAAGACGGUUUUGCUGUCACUUAUAGAUGGAUCCGCGCCGCAUUAGCUAGUUGGUAAGGUAACGGCUUACCAAGGCAACGAUGCGUAGCCGACCUGAGAGGGGGAUCGGCGACACUGGAACUGAGACACGCUCCAGACUCCUACGGGAGGCAGCAGUAGGGAAUCUUCCGCAAUGGGCGAAAGCUUGACGGAGCAACGCCGCGUGAGUGAUGAAGGUCUUCGGAUCGUAAAACUCUGUUAUUAGGGAAGAACAAAUGUGUAAGUAACUAUGCACGUCUUGACGGUACCUAAUCAGAAAGCCACGGCUAACUACGUG